rnacentral:rRNA from 1 species
UAAGAGGAAGUUUUCGGAUGGAAUCUUAAAUGACUGAGCGGCGGACGGGUGAGUAACGCGUGGGCAACCUGCCUUAUACAGGGGGAUAACAGUUAGAAAUGACUGCUAAUACCGCAUAAGCGCACAGGAACGCAUGUUCCGGUGUGAAAAACUCCGGUGGUAUAAGAUGGGCCCGCGUCUGAUUAGGUAGUUGGUGGGGCAGCGGCCUACCAAGCCGACGAUCAGUAGCCGACCUGAGAGGGUGACCGGCCACAUUGGGACUGAGACACGGCCCAAACUCCUACGGGAGGCAGCAGUGGGGAAUAUUGCACAAUGGGGGAAACCCUGAUGCAGCAAUGCCGCGUGGGUGAAGAAGCACUCCGGUGCGUAAAGCCCUGUCAGCAGGGAAGAAAAUGACAGUACCUGACCAAGAAGCCCCGGCUAACUACGUGCCAGCAGCCGCGGUAAUACGUAGGGGGCAAGCGUUAUCCGGAUUUACUGGGUGUAAAGGGAGCGCAAGCGGUAUGGCAAGUCAGAUGUGAAAACCCAGGGCUCAACCCUGGGACUGCAUUUGAAACUGCCAU